rnacentral:lncRNA from 1 species
CCGACCACUCACUCUCGUCUACCACCAACAAUGACUCUUCCUCCGCCGCCUCCACCGACCUCACCGCCCAGCAGAAGUCACGCAUCGAAUUCCAAAAGCUGCUCGCCAAAGCCAGACGCAACCUCUCCAGCUGCUCCGACAGAGUCUCCUAUUCCAAGUCCAAAUGUAUUUAAUUAGUUAAAUCAAAUUUCGCUACAUUAAUAAUUAAUUUGGGGUCCGGAUAAUUACUAAUUAGGCGAAGGAGUGAAACUGGAGGAGCUGUUGGUGGAGGAGACGUGGCUGGAAGCGUUGCCGUCGGAGCUUCAGAAACCCUACGCCAAGACCCUCUCUAAGUUCGUUGAGAGUGAACUCUGCGGCGGCGUUCCCAUAUAUCCUCCCACUCACUUGAUCUUCA